CAGCAGGGAGGGAUCUGAGGAAGUGACCUGGGAGGUGGGCCGAGCCCUGCAAUGAGCUUUCCUUUCCUGUGUGUCCUUCCUCCCGUUUUCCAGGGAUGCUGUUCUCCUGGGGCAGCCGGCGUGGCCAGGCCCCGAGGUUCUGGUGAAUUGAGAGAGAGGGUCUUACCCACCCGCCUCCCCUCAAGGAACUUGACUGAACAAAUCAGUGCCCCUGGCACCUGGCCCAGCACCUGGCACGCAACCAGCGCCCAGCACCUGUGCACUGAAGUAUAGAAAGGGCCCCAGGAGUCUGUGCAUGUCCACCUCCUCCAGGAAGCCCAAAAGCCCUCCCUGCCCCACUGGUCCAGUCUCACCAGUUUUCCCAGCUCUCUGUGGCAAUGAGCUAGAAUGAGAGAUAUGUGAGCAUUGCAACAUCCUCUCUCUUUGCCCUCGAGGAACUGGGAAGAUAGCAUCUAUAUGGACUCCACAAGAGGGUUAGCAAUCCAGAUGGUGGGCAAGAGUACCAGAAAAGAAUCAACAAGAAAGUUUAAAAAUGAUCCAGAUAACCCCUGGUUCUUGCUUCUUUUAAAUGCAUAUGGAGAAGAGUUGAAAUGCUAUAGAAAAACAAGGAUGUGAAGAAGAAGAGCGUGGGAGUCUCCUGACAGGAGAUGACGGGGUCACACGAAUUCCUCACCCUCAGUGUUGGCUCCCACCCCAGGUGCUCAAUUGAUCCGACUCUGGAAGGCUAGACCCAUCUGUCCUUGGCUGGGAAGGAAUCCCUGCUAACAGCUGGCCAGGCCCCUGAUAUAUGGCCCCUGUCACCCUCCCCCUCUGCUUGCUCUGAUCUCAGGUUUUAAGAUCUCUGUGACCCCUGCUUCAGGGGGCAAACGGCUCACAGGAAAGGUCUCUAACAUCCUCUGGGGGCCAGAAGGUGACUUGGCUGUUGUCAGCAAAACUGCGUGCAGGCCCAGGAAGGCAGAAGGAAGGGCGACAUUUCAGCCUGUGAUGGGGGACUGUGAUGAUGGCAGAGGGGGACAGAGGCCCUUUGUGGUGUGCUAGGAAGCAUCGGCCACAGCACUGCUCCUUUGCAGGUGUGGCAUCCUUGGCCCUCCCAAAUGCACUCCCACUUUGCAGAUGAGGACCCUGAGGCUCAGGCAGCUGAGCCAAGUUGCUAUUCAGUGAGUGAGAGAGAGGCAGAGCCAGGACCGGAGUCUGACCACGGAGUUCAGAGCUUGUGCUCUGCCUCUGUGCCAGGCCCGGGUGGGGACCAAACUGGGCCCCCAGAACUCAAGGCCACAAAGGGGCUGCCCACUCACAGGCACCCUUCUCUCAGGGUCUGCUUUUAUUAGGCCUGCUCUCUCAGUAUCCUCAGUGUCUAGAACAGUGCCUGGCACACAGUAUGUGCCCAGGCAAUCACUGUGGAAUAAAGAAGAGAAUGGAUAGCAAAAGUGGCUGAUUAGGGAACUAGAUGAACCGCCCCCCAUACUCCAAGGCUGAUGCUCCCUAAACUUGUCUCAGAGCCCUGUGACAGAUGAUGUGAGCCUAACGCCAAGCCACCAGCCACAGUUUGGAAAGGGCCAUGAUCCCCACUUUCUACCUCUCUUUAGCAGCCUCUUUGCCUUCAGAGUCACACCUUUCCUGCUCUGCAGCACACGGCGAGGCCUGUGGGGUCCCCAAGCCAAAGCUGCCCCUGACCAGAGGGGUGAAGACGGGGUGCCCAGCAACACGACACUAGUGUCAGGUCACACGGUGGCCCCUGCUGGCCUCCCAGGGCUGGGGGAGGAGCUGAGGGCACAGUGGGGUCAGCCCUGGUUCUGUCCUGCUGAGGCCCCAGUCCAGCUCAUGGGGAGUCAGAUGCCUGCAGCCCGGCCUAUGAGGAGCACAUAUUAACAGUAAGGGCAGGAAUUAAGGAGCAUUUGCCACACAGUGGGCACAGGUGCCUUCCGUGAAGUUUCCUCAUUUAACUCUUCCAAAACCUUAGGGGUUCAGUAUUCUUAUCUUCAUUGUGCAGAUGAGAAAACAGAGGUACCUAAAAGUUACAAUCUAAACAGUUGUAAGUGGGAUUUGAAUCAUGGUGGUUCUUUUCUUUCUUUUCUUUUUUAAAGAUUUUAUUUAUUUAUUCAUGAGAGACACACAGAGAGAAGCAGAGACACAGGUGGAGGGAGAAGCAGGCUCCCUGCAGGGAGCCUGAUGCAGGACUCGAUCCUAGGACCUCAGGAUCACACCCUGAGUCAAAGGCAUGCGCUCAGCCACUGAGCCACCCAAGUGUCCCUAUAAAUGGGUUUUGAACCUCAGAGCCCAGCUUCAGAGUUGUGUUUGCCUUCCCCCUGUUUGACUGCCAGCAACUACUGUCACUGUCAGGGCCAGGCCUCUGAGCAGCCUUCCCCCAGGGCUGCUUUCUUGGGCUCCUAAAGAGUGCUGUACAACCGUUGGGCCCUGCCUGUGCACCAUCCAGAUGAGCCACUGUCACCUCGAGCAACUGGGGGAAGAAACAGAAAGCCAGCUCUGGGGAUGAGGAUAGGGAUGGUUAGGAAAGUCCCAGGGGAGGAGGAGAGCUGGUGGAGAAUUGGCCACCCACCCAGAUGACUGGAGGCAGGGUACUCUGAGCAGGGAGCAGAGUGUGCAGAGGCAUGGGCACACAGGGUGUUUGGUGGAAUGGGGUUCAGUUAGGGAGAGAGUGGGGCAUAAAAGGGGAGAGCUUUGGGAGAUAAAACUGGAAGGCUUACACGCAGAGCGUUAGGUCUGUAUCCCUUCUCUAGGUGUGCAGGCUGAGACCAGUAUUUCAGGCACCACGGCACCAGAGCUAGCCGAUGGUAGUAGUGGGGGCCAGGCCCUGGGGGACAUGCUGCACAUGCACUCUGCCCCCCAGAAAAUCCUGUGAGACAUGGCCUCACCUUUAAGGCCUGGGAGCUUCCUACAAAGUCCUGAGCUUCCAGGUAAGAAGUCCAGCUCCUCUGCUGGAGAGAGGUGACCCUGAUGGCGAGGGAGAGAAGCCCAGUCAUCCCAGUGUCCGUCCCAGGCCUCAUCUGUUCCCCAUCUCCCUCCCACCAGCUGGAUGACCCCUGGCAAGAAGAAUAGAAGUGUUGGCCCAGUUGAUGGUGCCCAGCAGAGUGGAGAUGAGGUAUCUCCAUCACGCCCUGCUCAUGCUGCAGCAUCAUGAACAAGUAAAUGACUUGUCACACGCCACUGUGUUUUGGGGUGCUUUGUCACUUAACAAUAGAUAUGGAACAGAAAUUGGUCAGGAAGCUAUCCUUGGAAGUGCUGAAUGAAAGCACCCAAUGCCAGGUGAAUCACUAAGAUGCUUUUCUCUUUGUCAGAGAAGCCUUUCCAGGUGGACCAGAGUGGUUCACCCAGGCCACUCCAGGCACUCUUCUUUCUGACUCACCUGUGACUGUUUCCCAAGCCCUGGCAGCAGCAGCUUUCUGGGGCUAGGGCCAAGGGACCCCAUGUUGUUCCCCACCCCGCCGGGAGCCUUGGCUGGAGCUCCACACACCACGGGGCCCAGAGCGCUGCAUGACUCCCACCACUGGGCUUCAUCAGGCCUUCAUCCCAAGCCACGUGCUAGCAGAAAAGAAACCUUCAGAGCCAAAGUGCCUGGUUCAAAGCCUAGCUCUGCCACUUGUUCCCUAUAUGACCUUGAACAAAUCCAGCCACCUCUCUGAGCCUCCAUCUCCUUAUCUGUAAAAUGGGGAGAAUACUACUUGACCUUGUGAAGGUAAAUGAGAUAACAUUUCUCAAGAGCCUUACACAAUGCCUGGCAUAGAAGUGCCCCCCCCCCCCAUCUAUAUUCUUCUCUCCUUAUUUGUAAAUGAAGGGAAAAAUUUUAGGUUCCAGUGACCCUUCCAUAUGUCAUAUACCUAAAUCCUCUUCUCCACAGGUCAAGCCUGGAGUUUGAGUAUGAAUCAUUGUCUGUGUUGUCUGUGGCUGAACUGCCAAGGCCCCAUUGCAGGUCUACUGGGUUGAGGCUAGUGAGGGAGCAAGCCCUGCUUUCAGAUUUGGAGACCUGGGCUCCAGCCUGCCCCCUGCCUUCCAGCCCAGCGGCUUUGGCAUGUCCUUGACCCUCUGUGCAGCGGGGGUUAGUAGUUCCUGCCCUAUACUGGCAGAGUUGCUGGGAGGUUCAUGGGCACCAAUGGGCCCAGAAGCACUUUACCAUUAGCAUGGUGUCAAGCAUGCACCUGGAUGAUGCCAUUUUUAAUCCUUUUUGUAGGACUUGGUUCCCUAGAGCUAUGUUGUCCCAAAUUAAAUAAAAUUUAAAACCCAGUUCCUUAAUCCUCUAGCCCCAUUUCAAAUACUCAGUAGCAACGUGCGGCUGGUGGCUACCAUAUUGGAUAGCACAGAUAGAGAAUAUUUACGUCAUUACGGGAAGUUCCAUUGGACUGCACUGCACUAGAGUUUCCCCCAAAGGGACAACCAGUAGGAAUGAGAGACAGUGAUGAAGAACAAGGAAGUUUGAGCAGAAAUAGGGGGGUGGCAUGGAUUCUUUGGAUUGUUUUGCAGACCAGAUUCAAGGAUGGUCAUCAUGUUCGACUACUUCCCUGCUAAUAGCCAUGCUGGACAGCUUCUCUGGAAACAAAGUUUUCUCACCAUGAGAUUAGGGAGCACAAGGGCUGACUCCAACAGGACGUAGCCAGAGGAGGCCAAGACCACAGGGCCAUGCUAAGCACUGAAUACUGAUUGAUCUUCUGGCAUGGCUGGUGGUUGG